rnacentral:rRNA from 1 species
GGGCCCGCACAAGCGGUGGAGCAUGUGGUUCAAUUCGACGCAACGCGAAGAACCUUACCUGGGCUCGAACGGCUCAUGACGAGCUGUGGAAACACGGCUUUUCCCGCAAGGGACUAGAGUCGAGGUGCUGCAUGGCUGUCGUCAGCUCGUGUCGUGAGAUGUUGGGUUAAGUCCCGCAACGAGCGCAACCCUUGUCCUGUGUUACCAUGCCGAAAGGCGGCACUCGCAGGAGACCGCCAGCGAUAAGCUGGAGGAAGGUGGGGAUGACGUCAAGUCCUCAUGGCCUUUAUGUCCAGGGCUACACACGUGCUACAAUGGGCGGUACAAAGCGCUGCUAAGUCGCAAGACGGAGCCAAUCGCAGAAAGCCGCUCUCAGUUCGGAUUGCAGGCUGCAACUCGCCUGCAUGAAGCUGGAAUCGCUAGUAAUGCUAUAUCAGAAUGAUAGCGUGAAUACGUUCCCGGGCCUU